rnacentral:rRNA from 1 species
GACGAACGCUGGCGGCGUGCUUAACACAUGCAAGUCGAACGGAAAGGCCUGCUUUCCCUUGUGGAUUGCGGGUACUCGAGUGGCGAACGGGUGAGUAACACGUGAGUGAUCUGCCCCCAACUUGGGUAUAAGCCUGGGAAACUGGGUCUAAUUCCCGAUAGGACUGCAGGGUGGUGCCUGUGGUGGAAAACGAUUUUCUAGUGGUUGGGGAUGAGCUCGCGGCCUAUCAGCUUGUUGGUGGGGUAAUGGCCUACCAAGGCGGCGACGGGUAGCCGGCCUGAGAGGGUGGACGGCAACAUUGGGACUGAGAUACGGCCCAGACUCCGACGGGAGGCAGCAGUGGGGAAUAUUGCACAAUGGGCGGAAGCCUGAUGCAGCGACGCCGCGUGGGGGAUGACGGCCUUCGGGUUGUAAACUCCUUUCGACCGCGAGGAAGCCACCUGGUUGGAAGGGUGGUGACGGUAGUGGUAGAAGAAGCACCGGCUAACUACGUG